UACGUAGGGGGCGAGCGUUGUCCGAAUUCACUGGGCGUAAAGCGCGCGUAGGCGGGUUUUUAAGUUGGGGGUGAAAUCCCGAGGCUCAACCUCGGAACUGCCUCCAAAACUGGGAGCCUUGAGGUUUGGAGAGGGAAGUGGAAUUCCAGGUGUAGCGGUGAAAUGCGUAGAUAUCUGGAGGAACACCCGUGGCGAAGGCGGCUUCCUGGCCAUAUCCUGACGCUGAGGUGCGAAAGCUAGGGGAGCGAACGGG
rnacentral:rRNA from 1 species